AUUGAACGCUGGCGGCAGGCCUAACACAUGCAAGUCGAACGAGUGGCGGACGGGUGAGUAAUGUCUGGGAAACUGCCCGAUGGAGGGGGAUAACUACUGGAAACGGUAGCUAAUACCGCAUACCAUCGGAUGUGCCCAGAUGGGAUUAGCUAGUAGGUGGGGUAACGGCUCACCUCGGCGACGAUCCCUAGCUGGUCUGAGAGGAUGACCAGCCACACGGGAACUGAGACACGGUCCAGACUCCUACGGGAGGCAGCAGUGGGGAAUAGUGCACAAUGGUCGCAAGCCUGAUGCAGCCAUGCCGCGGGUAUGAAGAAGGCUUUCGGGUUGUAAAGUACUUUCAGCGGGGAGGCGUUACUCGCAGAAGAAGCACCGGCUAACUCCGUGCCAGCAGCCGCGGUAAUAC
rnacentral:rRNA from 1 species